UACGUAGGUCCCGAGCGUUGUCCGGAUUUAUUGGGCGUAAAGCGAGCGCAGGUGGUUUAUUAAGUCUGGUGUAAAAGGCAGUGGCUCAACCAUUGUAUGCAUUGGAAACUGGUAGACUUGAGUGCAGGAGAGGAGAGUGGAAUUCCAUGUGUAGCGGUGAAAUGCGUAGAUAUAUGGAGGAACGCCGGUGGCGAAAGCGGCUCUUUGGCCUGUAACUGACACUGAGGCUCGGAAGCGUGGGGAGCAAACAGG
rnacentral:rRNA from 1 species